GACGAACGCUGGCGGCAUGCCUAAUACAUGCAAGUCGAACGAUGAUAUCACUGCUUGCAGUGAUUGAUUAGUGGCGAACGGGUGAGUAACACGUGAGGAACUUGCCCAUGAGCGUGGGACAACAUUCGGAAACGGAUGCUAAUACCCCAUAGGUGGAUUGGUCGCAUGACGAAUUCAUUAAAGGUGGCUCUGCUACCACUCAUGGAUAGCCUCGCGGCGUAUUAGCUAGUUGGUAAGGUAAUGGCUUACCAAGGCAGUGAUACGUAGCCGACUUGAGAGGGUGAUCGGCCACACGGGGACUGAGAGACGGCCCAGACUCCUACGGGAGGCAGCAGUAGGGAAUCUUCCAAAAUGGGUGCAAACCUGAUGGAGCAAUGCAGCGUGAGUGAAGAAGGUCUUCGGAUCGUAAAGCUCUGUUGUUAGAGAAGAACACGUGCUAGGUAACUACUAGCGCCUUGACGGUAUCUAACCAGAAAGUAACGGCUAACUACGUG
rnacentral:rRNA from 1 species